UGUGGGAGCGAGCCUGCUCGCGAAGGCGUCGGCACUUUCAAUACAUUCAGUGCCUGAUCCACCGCUAUCGCGAGCAGGCUCGCUCCCACC
rnacentral:antisense_RNA from 1 species